CCCGCCCACACGCAGUGUGUUUACCUGACGCGCGGCCCUGUGUGGUGACGUACAGCGGGUGCGCGGGAGAUGUUGGACGGCGGCGUGAGGUUUGCGCAGAGCUGGGGACCAGGUAGCAUUCCACAAAACAGGCCCGCCAAGUGGGGCUUCCCGCGAUGUACUUAUACACAAAGACUGCGGCGUUAGUAAAUUCCCAAAUCCAUCCUCUUUACACUGAUUUGUAUAUUUAUAUAUAUUUGUAUAUGUAUAAUUUACAUAUAAUUAUAAUAUGGCUUCUGUUAUGCUCAGGGGAGAGGUCUUCACCUGAGCAAGGGUCUUUUUGACCUAGGGGUGUGAUUUUUAGUGAUAAUAAGGGUAGUUCAGUUAAGGGUACACAGACCUUGAGUUUUCAUGCCAAGUUGCCAAAGUAUCCUCAAAGUAUCCUCAUUAACUGUCUCCUCAAGGCCUAAUUGUUCCAGUGUCCUUCCCCAAAUAUUGGCUAACUGCAUACCUCUCUGAUUACAGCCUAAACUUGUAAUGUAUACAAUUUACGCCCUGCACAAAACAAUCAAACGGUUCUGUAUGUCUGUGUUACCCAUCUGCAUUUCUGAGUUACACUCCAGCAUCCCAGCAGGCAGUGGGAGGUGGCGGCUGAGGGGCCUGGGGGCCUCGGGGGCUUCAGGGGGGCGCUGCCCUCACAGCCACCAGCCCCGGGCAGGGGGGAGCGGGUUUCCCCUCAGAGCUUGGUGGGUUUUGGCAGCGCUGCCCCAGGCAGAGGGAUGUUUGCAGGUGUCUGGCACUGCACGCGUUUCUGAGGGGAACGUGCUGUGCUGGAGGCGAGGAGCUGCCUUUUCGCACCCGGUCAGGUUUCUAUCGGGGAGCCCGGGCCUCUGGCUUGCAGAUCCAGGCAGCGGGCACCUCAGCCAGGAUCAGUGACCUGCUCUGGGCAUCCACCCCAACUGCUGCGGCCACAAGUCAUCACCUACAUACUAAAACCAUUAAACAAUUACUGAAGAGUGUAACACAGCAUGCUUCUCCACAGAGUACCUGUUGGCAAAGAGUAACCAUUCUUUGUUCCUCUCGCCCUGCAAAAAAUUUAAAACAAUAGCUUCCAAGGUUGCCCCACAAAAGAAUUGUCCUCUGGAAAAAAAAAGCACUAGAGGCUUUUUUACAAAUAUUUUUGGAAGGUGUAACAGGGCGAUGCAAGUCAUGCAUGCCUUCAGCAUCUUCUUGAUGAUGCAGAACUGUGGUUUUGCACAUACUGGAGCAUUAUUUCACACACACACAAAAAAAGUUGGUGUAACUCAGACUUGAUAUUUGCCAAAAGGAGACUGUGUUCACAUGUUAGCUGUAAGCUCCCACACUUCCCUGUCUCAGCUUUGAUAAUUGAGUCAAAUGAUAUGUAGGUGGGCAAACGUACACAAGAGUAAACUGCUGCCAGUUUGUAUCGGCAAGUAAGUUUAUGUGUACUGCAGAGGAGCAUUAAACACUGAAUGCUUUCUGUCAUUCAGCAGCUACCCCAGGAAAAAUUGUAGGUUUUGUUAGAUUUAUAAGAGUGAAAAAAAAGCCAAUGUUUGCCGCAGCAGCUGGAGAAUCCGAAGUCUAGAACUGUUGAGAGGAAAUGUGGGAGAACAAGAUAUGCAAUUAUGAAUGCAGCAGAAUUUGAUGAAAACUUGAUUUUUGCAUUUAUGAAUGCA